rnacentral:misc_RNA from 1 species
AAUAAGUUGCACAGGUACUCCUGACUUGACUCCCUUAGCUGAAUUUCUUCCUACAACAACAGGACUCAGACUAUUUUGUUGAUUAGAAGCACACUGAGAACAGAUGUAUUGCUCCUUAUAGCCAGAUUGCAGGCAAGGGUGCUUAAUUUCUGUGUUCGCACUUACCAGAUCUGCACUUGGAAGUGCUCUUAAAAUAUGGACAACAGACUUGUCAAAUGCAUCAUUUAAACCAUAGCCU